rnacentral:rRNA from 1 species
GACGAACGCUGGCGGCGUGCUUAACACAUGCAAGUCGAACGGAAAGGCCCUGCUUUUGUGGGGUGCUCGAGUGGCGAACGGGUGAGUAACACGUGAGUAACCUGCCCUUGACUUUGGGAUAACUUCAGGAAACUGGGGCUAAUACCGGAUAGGAGCUCCUGCUGCAUGGUGGGGGUUGGAAAGUUUCGGCGGUUGGGGAUGGACUCGCGGCUUAUCAGCUUGUUGGUGGGGUAGUGGCUUACCAAGGCUUUGACGGGUAGCCGGCCUGAGAGGGUGACCGGCCACAUUGGGACUGAGAGACGGACCAGAAUCCUACGGGAGGCAGCAGUGGGGAAUAUUGCACAAUGGGCGGAAGCCUGAUGCAGCAACGCCGCGUGCGGGAUGACGGCCUUCGGGGUGUAAACCGCUUUCGCCUGUGACGAAGAGUGAGUGACGGUAAUGGGUAAAGAAGCACCGGCUAACUACGUG